AGGACAUAUUUUCCUACAUGUAUACCAACAUUUUGAUGUGAAGGACUGAGCAGAUACACUCAAAAGAUCCAGUUUUCUCCUUGAGUGCCAAAGACCAAUUUUAGGUCACCCACAGCAAUCCAAAGAAGAAGAAAACUGCAGGUCUAAAUGAUUGCAGUCAUGUCUAAAGCAGGAAGCAACAUAAAAGCUGGGUUCUGAUAAAAUGAUAAUUAAU
rnacentral:lncRNA from 1 species